rnacentral:rRNA from 1 species
UACGUAGGAUGCAAGCGUUGUCCGGAAUUAUUGGGCGUAAAGAGCGCGCAGGCGGUAUGACAAGUCAGAUGUGAAAGAGGCCGGCUUAACCGGCAAGGGCCAUUUGAAACUGUCAGACUAGAGUGCAGCAGAGGAUAGUGGAAUUCCCGGUGUAGUGGUGAAAUGCGUAGAUAUCGGGAGGAACACCAGUGGCGAAGGCGACUAUCUGGGCUGCAACUGACGCUGAGGCGCGAAGGCUAGGGUAGCAAACAGG